CCGGGUGUAGCUCAGUGGUAGAGCAGCGGCUUCCAAUCCCGCCGGCGAGGGUUCGACUCCUUCCACCCGUGCCA
rnacentral:tRNA from 1 species